rnacentral:rRNA from 1 species
UCCUUAGAUGUCCGGGGCUGCACGCGCGCUACACUGAAGGAAUCAGCGUGCUAAAACCAUUGUCGAAAGGCAUUGGUAAACCCAUUAAAAUCCUACGUGAUUGGGAUCGGGAAUUGCAAUUAUUUCCCUUGAACGAGGAAUUCCCAGUAAGUGUGGGUCAUAAGCUCGCGUUGAUUACGUCCCUGCCCUUUGUACACACCGCCCGUCGCUGCCCGGGACUGAGCCGUUUCGAGAAAAGCGGGGACUGCUGCUGUCGGGGCUUUCGGGCCUUGGCUUCGGUGGAAACCGCUUUAAUCGCAGUGGCUUGAACCGGGCAAAAGUCGUANCA